rnacentral:rRNA from 1 species
UGGCGGCGUGCUUAACACAUGCAAGUCGAGCGGUAAGGCCUUUCGGGGUACACGAGCGGCGAACGGGUGAGUAACACGUGGGUGAUCUGCCCUGCACUCUGGGAUAAGCCUGGGAAACUGGGUCUAAUACCGGAUAUGACCUGCUCUCGCAUGGGGGUGGGUGGAAAGAUUUAUCGGUGCAGGAUGGGCCCGCGGCCUAUCAGCUUGUUGGUGGGGUAAUGGCCUACCAAGGCGACGACGGGUAGCCGACCUGAGAGGGUGACCGGCCACACUGGGACUGAGACACGGCCCAGACUCCUACGGGAGGCAGCAGUGGGGAAUAUUGCACAAUGGGCGAAAGCCUGAUGCAGCGACGCCGCGUGAGGGAUGAAGGCCUUCGGGUUGUAAACCUCUUUCAGCAGGGACGAAGCGCAAGUGACGGUACCUGCAGAAGAAGCACCGGCUAACUACGUGCCAGCAGCCGCGGUAAUACGUAGGGUGCGAGCGUUGUCCGGAAUUACUGGGCGUAAAGAGUUCGUAGGCGGUUUGUCGCGUCGUUUGUGAAAACCCGGGGCUCAACUUCGGGCUUGCAGGCGAUACGGGCAGACUUGAGUGUUUCAGGGGAGACUGGAAUUCCUGGUGUAGCGGUGAAAUGCGCAGAUAUCAGGAGGAACACCGGUGGCGAAGGCGGGUCUCUGGGAAACAACUGACGCUGAGGAACGAAAGCGUGGGUAGCAAACAGGAUUAGAUACCCUGGUAGUCCACGCCGUAAACGGUGGGCGCUAGGUGUGGGUUCCUUCCACGGAAUCUGUGCCGUAGCUAACGCAUUAAGCGCCCCGC